GAAUUUUGGACAAUGGGCGCAAGCCUGAUCCAGCAAUGCCGCGUGAGUGAAGAAGGCCUUCGGGUUGUAAAGCUCUUUUGUCAGGGAAGAAACGGCGCCGGCUACUAUCCGGCGCUAAUGACGGUACCUGAAGAAUAAGCACCGGCUCACUACGUGCCAGCACCCGCGGUAAUACGUAGGGUGCAAGCGUUAAGCGGAAUUACUGGGCGUAAAGCGUGCGCAGGCGGUUGUGUAAGUCUGUCGUGAAAUCCCCGGGCUUAACCUGGGAAUUGCGAUGGAGACUGCAAGGCUAGAAUCUGGCAGAGGGGGGUAGAAUUCCACGUGUAGCAGUGAAAUGCGUAGAGAUGUGGAGGAACACCGAUGGCGAAGGCAGCCCCCUGGGUCAAGAUUGACGCUCAUGCACGAAAGCGUGGGGAGCAAACAGG
rnacentral:rRNA from 1 species